UGGGGAAUAUUGGACAAUGGGGGAAACCCUGAUCCAGCAACGCCGCGUGGGGGAUGAAGGUCUUCGGAUUGUAAACCCCUGUUGGGAGGGGCGAAGGCUUCCGGGCGAACAGUCCGGAAGCUUGACGGUACCUCCAGAGAAAGCCCCGGCUAACUCUGUGCCAGCAGCCGCGGUAAUACAGAGGGGGCGAGCGUUAUUCGGAAUCAUUGGGCGUAAAGGGCGCGUAGGCGGCCGAGCAAGUCUUGGGUGAAAUCCCUCGGCUUAACCGAGGAACUGCCCUGGAAACUGCUCGGCUUGAGGCCGGGAGAGGGUGGUGGAAUUCCCAGUGUAGCGGUGAAAUGCGUAGAUACUGGGAGGAACACCAGUGGCGAAGGCGGCCACCUGGACCGGUCCUGACGCUGAGGCGCGAAAGCGUGGGGAGCAAACAGG
rnacentral:rRNA from 1 species